GACUAAGGACUGAAAUCAGUUCUCAUUUACUGAUUAAUAUUUGGAUGGGAGACCACCUGGAAAUAUCAGGUGCUGUAGCCU
rnacentral:rRNA from 1 species